AUUGAACGCUAGCGGGAUGCCUUACACAUGCAAGUCGAACGGCAGCGCGGACUUCGGUCUGGCGGCGAGUGGCGAACGGGUGAGUAAUGUAUCGGAACGUGCCCAGUAGCGGGGGACAACCACUCGAAAGAGUGGCUAAUAUCGCAUACGCCUACGGGGAAGGGGGGAGUCGAAGACCUCUCACUAUUGGAGCGGCCGAUAUCGGAUUAGCUAGUUGGUGGGUAAAGGCCUACCAAGGCGACGAUCCGUAGCUGGUUUGAGAGGACGACCAGCCACACUGGGACUGAGACACGGCCCAGACUCCUACGGGAGGCAGCAGUGGGGAAGUUUUGGACAAUGGGGGAAACCCUGAUCCAGCCAUUCCGCGUGUGCGAUGAAG
rnacentral:rRNA from 1 species